GGCUACUAGGGCUAUAGUGCCACUAACAAAGAUAACUACCCACAAAAUACAAAGGAAAAAAGGCUGCCUAAGUAUGAUUCCCAAUCAGAGACAACGAUAGACAGCUGUCCCUGAUUGAGAACCAUAGCCUGGCAAAACAUAGAUAUAGAAAACAUAGAAAUAAAGAAACUAGAAUGCCCACCCUAGUCACACCCUGGCCUACCCAAAAUAGAGAAUAAAAGCCUCUCUAUGGCCAGGGUGUGACAAGUAUAGUGACAAUGACCAUUUUCUAGCAUUAGUAUCGGCCUUUCUCCCCACACCUAAUAAUAUCACAUUGAGGGGUGCUGGCCACUGUCUGAUGGCUAUAGGUGAGAGACAUUAACAAUAUGAACAAUCCAUUACUAAUUAUCCAUCUUUAAUGUGAAUGAAGACGUGGGCGGGGCAAUCAAUUGUGGGGGCAGUAGUCCAAUUAUAAUAUCUAAACUGAAGUGGGUCUGGGUAUGGUGUAUAAAGUCCCCUCUGGUGGUAUUGAAUUCAGACGAGUCUUCCUGCAGGAGAAGAGUCGGGACGUGACCUGUAAAAAAGAAGCGUGCGUAAUUUACAAUGGCGAAAUGGGAAAUGCGAAUGGACGUUCUAAAAUGUUUGGCGGUGCUUGAGCUGGAUGACAUGGAUUCAGACGCAAGGGGGGAACUUGAUGAGAUGUAUCAAGAGAUCUAUGAUGAUAAAUAUGGCAUUUUUUCAGUAGAUUCCGAUUCUGACAGUGAGACGUAUGGGAUCCCUCCUAGGGUGCCAGCGGCACCACAACGCAAUCAGCAAAACUCCCGCAGUUGCUACAGUCAACAUGGGCGCAAAAAAGCCUCUACGUUGCCCACUGUGGAGCCGUCAUCAACUGAGAUGGAGAGAGAUAAUACGGGGGUGGACGGCACAGUUUGGGUGAAACAGCCUGUUGGUAACGCCACGGGUCGAUUAUUAACACAGAACGACACCAGAGUGGAAUCAGGCCCUACACCAUAUGCAAAAGACAGAAUCGACGGUGCCUACGCCAGCUUUCAUUGUUUGUGUGACAUGGAGAUGUUGCAGCGCAUCAGGGACUGCACUGUGGCUGAGGCGCACCGGGUGCAAGGAAAAAACAAAACAUGGGACUUGUCUGUGGAGGAAUUGGAAGCAUUCAUUGCGGUCCUGUAUGUCCGUGGGCUACACGGCAAUAGACUAGCGUCUUUGGAUGGCUACUGGUCAUGUUUAAAAUUAGAUUUCUUUCGAGACACCAUGCCAAUGGACCGCUUCACAGAAAUCUUGCGGUACCUGCGUUUUGACACCAGAGAGAUCAGACGCCCCCGAACAUAUUCGAACAAAUUCGCCGUGGUCUCAGAAGUUUGGAACGCGUUUGUACGGAACUGCAUUGCAUGUUACAAGCCAGGGUUGAACAUCACUGUUGAGGAGCAAUGGUUCCUUUCAAGUGGAGAGGUCAUCAAGUGUGCGUUUACCGCUGACGUAGACAGCAAGUACGUGCUAAAUAUCAUUCCUUAUGUCGUUCCUUAUUCGGGGGAAGAUGAAUCUCAGAAGCCUGAAAAUGUGGCAUUGAAGCUUGUGGAACCUUACCUCGGUGCGGGGAGAACGGUCACUACGGACAAGUUCUGCACAUCCCUGCCAUUAGCAAAUACGUUGAUUGCCAACAAAACCAACUUGGUCGGGGCAGUGAGUCAUUGCGGACGAGAGCUGCCUCCCGUGAUGCGUAAUCAGGCACAGACAAAGCUAUACUCCACUACCGUGCUAAAGCAUGACAAAGCAACCCUUACGGUUUACAGAAGUAACCCAAGAAAGAACGUCUGUAUUCUGAGCACUAUGCACCCGACUGUCGCCAUCGGGAAUGACCGAACGAGAGAACCGGAGACCGUGACGUUCUAUAAUAGCAACAGGGUUGAUGUAAAUACGAUGACAAGAGAGCGUACGGUGGCGGUUGUGACAGGGUUGGAGAAAGGAGGUUCACACCGCUGGCCCCUUGCGGUAUUCUUCAACCUUCUUGACCUGGCUGCAAUCAACGCAUAUGUUUUGUUCACGCAAUGCACCGCUAAGACAGUGUCAACGAGAGAUUUCAUCAUGGAUCUGGCAUUCGAGCUUCGCGAGAAGCACAUGAGGGCCAAUGCCGCACCGCCUCCUCCCCUCCCACCCAUCCAGGACACAGUCUGUGAAACGAAGACCCACAGCAAGGUGCGCAGAUCGACACGGAACAAGGCUCCCAAAAGCUGUGGGUAGUGCAACGGAUUUGCUAGUGGAUCUUGCGCACGCAAAUGUCCAGAACAACAGAAGACGAGAUAUUAAUUCUUGCGUUAGGCUAAAGGCGCAUAUCCCAAAGGCACAAGUUACAGUCUCCAGUGAAUUAACAACCGAGUCUUUGUUAUAGCAUGGAUAUAUUGCCACUAAUUCUCCUGUAUGCAUGUAAAGUUUCAACAUUGUGUUUGCACCCUACCAAUUGUGUUACAAAUAAAAUGCAGAAACUUG
ensembl:lncRNA